GCUGGUGCCCCCAGACUGAACUGCCUGGGAACAUCAGGGCAUCUCUACAUUACAUCUAAUGUCUCAAAUAUUUUAGAAAAUAGAAUAAUCCUAUCAGUUCUUAAUAUUUUCCAGGGACUAUGAAAUUGUGUAAACAGGACUUAACUGCACAGUAUCUUUAAAUUUUCUCCAAAGGGCUGGGAAAUUCUUGGAUCCUAUGGCAGCAAAGUUGUUUGGUAGCAUGUGCUGUGCAAAAAGAAGCUUUUACUGGGUCAUGCCAGCAGCAAGCAGACCUCCACUUCUUUCGUCAUCAUUAUCAGAGAGUGGAAGGUGAAAUAGGCCAGAAACUCAGAUGCCUUCUGUACUUGUGCUGUAAGGCAAGGCUCUCUAUGCUGAGAUCAUCUCUGACAGAACUGCUUUCAAAUCUUUCCUCCUGAUAGGAUGAAGACCCUCCCAAGGUGCCACCAUCACCGAGCCUACAGCACUGCUGCCAAGAAAUGCUCAGUGCAGGAGGUAAAAGCAACCAUGCACUGCUUCUCCUUCCUUCCUCCUCUCCCUGUAACCUGGUUUCCAUGCAAAAGAAGGCACAGCUGGUGAUGGACUGUGGCACACACUGCAGGACUGGGGCCAAGGGUUUCCCACGUCAGGCAGCACUGGGUCAGCCAAGGCACAGACCACAUCUACAGGAGAGAGAUGCUGUGGGCUCUGGGGUUUGACACCAGGCACUGCCCAGGACAGCCAGGGACAGAGUACAAGAGAGGCAGAUCCAGCUUUAGGGACAGAGAUCCAAGCAGAAAACGCUUGGGAACAGUCCAGGUGGAGUAAAAUAAAAAGGAAGAGACACAUUGAAACUGGGUGUGCAAUGGCCUUACUCCUGGGUUGGACAAUGAUGUGGUGCAAUCACUAUGGCAAACCACAAAUGCACUGGCAGAACUCAUCAAAUAAGUGAUAAGAAACAUCAAAGGCAAGCUAUUUUCAUUAUUUUUCUUAAUUGAAAUAGAGUCUGUAAGGAGCUUCAGAUCUUUACUUAGCAGGUGACUUUUAUUCCUGUCCUAUUUAAAAAUGGGUCAAAGCUGGAGUUUUCACUCUGACAGACAUUAGACUUCCUCAGAGCUUUAGGCUAAGCCUGUUAGGAGGCCACUAGAUUCCUGGUUGUUUCUAGAUCAACAAGGAUCACACUACCAAUUGAACUUAAGUUAAAAUGUCUAGAAGUUUCUAUUUUCGUAAAUGUAGUUGAAAUGUGUUGAAAAUUUCAGCUGAGGCAUUUACAGCACUGUUAAAUCCAGACCAACACAUUAUUGCUAAAAGAGAGUUUGACUUUGAAGUCAGUUUAGUUGUUAUUUAGGGUCCAGAUUACACACUCAUGCAGGGAAUUAAUGGGAAGCAUAUACAGCAGUCCCCAUCACUCCUUGCUAGGCAUUUUGUUGAGAUCUUUCCUGUAUAGUACUGGGGAUUUACUAUCUUCCAUUUCUAUCUCUCUAAAGUUAUUUGAAAAUACAAGAAUAAAUUGCUAUAGGUUCUGCUUGUUUGGAGGCUGUUUUUAUACUCAAACUCUCCAAGUUUUUGAAGUUGAAUAUCUCAGCUUCAUGACCAUACCAGAGCACCCAGCUGGUGUUUUCAGAGGGAUACCUAGAGUCACUCCAAAAUGCUCUUUAGAAUAGCACUUCAUAAACCAAGAGAUUAGAUUAAUAAAUUUAAAGCACCAGAAAAUUUUUCUCCUCUCUGAAUUCUAUAAUUUGCUUCUGUUCUGGCAGAGCUAGGUGCAGGCUAGUAGAAACACAUAUUCAAAUGGAGGUCUUUGCUUGAGAAAAUAGGUUAAACACUAUUCUAUCAUGAGGUUUAUUCCCCUGUUUUACUGUGUUUU